rnacentral:rRNA from 1 species
CCUACGGGAGGCUGCAGUGGGGAAUAUUGGACAGUGGGGGGAACCCUGAUCCAGCCAUGCCGCGUGUGUGAAGAAGGCCCUCGGGUUGUAAAGCACUUUCAGUGAGGAAGAACGCCUGGUGGUUAAUACCCAUCAGGAAAGACAUCACUCACAGAAGAAGCACCGGCUAACUCCGUGCCAGCAGCCGCGGUAAUACGGAGGGUGCGAGCGUUAAUCGGAAUUACUGGGCGUAAAGCGCGCGUAGGUGGCUUGAUAAGCCGGUUGUGAAAGCCCCGGGCUCAACCUGGGAACGGCAUCCGGAACUGUCAAGCUAGAGUGCAGGAGAGGAAGGUAGAAUUCCCGGUGUAGCGGUGAAAUGCGUAGAGAUCGGGAGGAAUACCAGUGGCGAAGGCGGCCUUCUGGACUGACACUGACACUGAGGUGCGAAAGCGUGGGUAGCAAACAGGAUUAGAUACCCCUGUAGUC